rnacentral:rRNA from 1 species
UACGGGGGGGGCAAGCGUUGUUCGGAAUUACUGGGCGUAAAGGGCGCGUAGGCGGCCUGCUAAGUCGGACGUGAAAUCCCUCGGCUCAACCGGGGAACUGCGUCCGAUACUGGCGAGGCUUGAAUCCGGGAGAGGGAUGUGGAAUUCCAGGUGUAGCGGUGGAAUGCGUAGAGAUCCGGAGGAAGACCGGUGGCGAAGGCGGCCUGCUGGGCAGUUACUGACACUGAGGCGCGACAGCGUGGGGAGCAAACAGG